rnacentral:rRNA from 1 species
UACGUAGGGUCCGAGCGUUGUCCGGAAUUACUGGGCGUAAAGAGCUCGUAGGUGGUUUGUCGCGUUGUUCGUGAAAACUCACAGCUCAACUGUGGGCGUGCGGGCGAUACGGGCAGACUUGAGUACUGCAGGGGAGACUGGAAUUCCUGGUGUAGCGGUGGAAUGCGCAGAUAUCAGGAGGAACACCGGUGGCGAAGGCGGGUCUCUGGGCCUUACCUGACGCUGAGGAGCGAAAGCGUGGGGAGCGAACAGG